UACAGAGGUCCCAAGCGUUGUUCGGAUUCAUUGGGCGUAAAGGGUGCGUAGGCGGCGCGGUAAGUCGGGUGUGAAAUCUCGGAGCUUAACUCCGAAACUGCAUUCGAUACUGCCGUGCUUGAGGACUGGAGAGGAGACUGGAAUUUACGGUGUAGCGGUGAAAUGCGUAGAUAUCGUAAAGAAGACCAGUGGCGAAGGCGGGUCUCUGGACAGUUCCUGACGCUGAGGCACGAAGGUCAGGGGAGCAAACGGG
rnacentral:rRNA from 1 species